AUGCCGAUGGUAGUGUGGGGCAUCCCCAUGUGAGAGUAGGUCACCGCCAAAUUUAUUACUUUAGUUUAUUCAGUCUUGUUAGUAAGCUAAAGUAAUAAAAAUUUUAGCGGUUAUA
rnacentral:rRNA from 1 species